AUUGAACGCUGGCGGCAUGCUCUACACAUGCAAGUCGAACGGUAACAGGGAGCUUGCUCCGCUGACGAGUGGCGAACGGGUGAGUAAUGCGUCGGAACGUGCCGAGUAGUGGGGGAUAACGCAUCGAAAGGUGUGCUAAUACCGCAUACGAACUGAGGUUGAAAGUGGGGGACCGUCGGGCCUCACGCUAUUCGAGCGGCCGACGUCUGAUUAGCUAGUUGGUGAGGUAAAGGCUCACCAAGGCGACGAUCAGUAGCGGGUCGUAGAGGAUGAUCCGCCACACUGGGACUGAGACACGGCCCAGACUCCUCCGGGAGGCAGCAGGGGGGAAUUUUGGACUAUGGGCGCAAGCCUGAUCCAGCCAUGCCGCGUGUCUGAAGAAGGCCUUCGGGUUGUAAAGGACUUUUGUCCGGGAGCAAAUGCUGGUGGCUAACAUCCACCGGAGCUGAGAGUACCGGAAGAAUAAGCACCGGCUAACUACGUGCCAGCCGCCGCAGUAAGAC
rnacentral:rRNA from 1 species